UUCCUCAUUUUCAUUUUCUCCCGUUCGCACCAAAAGGCGCAUAAAUGCCACGAUAAUGCGCAAGGCUUUUACCGUGCAAUAAGUACGCCUUUCUUGAUUUCCGUGUGUCAUGUGUACGCCAUGUAUCCUGUACUGACUGCCAAUGUAAACACAUCCGCGUAUAAAUGCAAACGGAAAGAGUUAGUGACAUAGUAUAAAAGCGUGAAAGACCACGUAUGGUGGGCGGGUCCAACAAAUACCAGACUUUUAACCAGGAGACUCGUGUUCGAGACUGUUGUUUUGACCGGUGUUUAUGUUUUGUAAGUUAUGUUAGUCACGUUUGUCACGUUUUUUGUUGACGUUUGUGACGUGUUUCACGUAGUUCACUUACUUAUUUUAAAGCCCAACCAUGAUGUUUUCCCUUAACCUAACUAAGUGGUUUUCUUGUCUAAACCUAACUGCAGACGUUUGAUUGCCAUCAAAAAUUUAUUGUGAAAAGCGGCGUACAAAUGACACACGAAAACGCUAAAUGCGUACUCAUGACACGCAGAAUGUCCGUGUAUGUUGUGGUAUUUAUACUCGCUGUACGCAAAGUCAUUCCUUG